rnacentral:other from 1 species
UGUGCCCUGCAGAACAUGGUUGUUGAAAGUGUUGUUUGGCCGGCUCGGAAGUUUCUUCUCGAUUAUCCCAACGAACAGUCUCAUUUGAUUAAACAUGCAUGCAUAAUUUAUCGAAUAACGAUUGAGGUAUAAUUCAAAUGGCAACAGGUACAGUAAAGUGGUUCAACGAUACUAAGGGCUUCGGCUUUAUCGCGCAGGAUGAUGGCGGCGAUGACGUGUUUGUACACUUCUCCGCAAUCCAGACAGACGGCUUCAAGUCUCUGCAGGAAGGUCAGAAAGUUGAGUUCGAAAUCGAAGAUGGACAGAAGGGCCCACAGGCUCGCAACGUCACCGCUGCGUAAGCAACAACACUUCAGUACAACAAUAUAAACAUCAACAACGCCCCGUCUGGAAACAGACGGGGCGUUUU